rnacentral:precursor_RNA from 1 species
CGCUCGCUUGAAGUCACGGAUGUCGACGACGCCGUCGAUGCGACAUCUUCGUGUUCGGGCUCCCGCAC